AAUUUACUUUGAUUUUUCUUUGGGCGAACAGUCCAUCUUCUCUGCAUAAUUUUUAUAUUAAUUUCUUUGGAUAAAGUAUACAGUCUCAGAACAACGAUGCAAGCCUUGAGAAGCUUUUAUAUGUGCUUGUUCUUCUUAUUCUCCCUCCUACGAAUCUCAGCUGCAACUGCACUGGGCACAACAAUCACUCCGAGUGGAUAUAUAAGAGAUGGCGAAACUCUGGUUUCAGUAGGUGGAAGCUAUGAACUGGGAUUCUUCAGCCCUGGUAAAUCGAAAAGCCGGUACGUGGGAAUAUGGUACACUGAUUCUACUGAUGCAGUUGUGUGGGUAGCCAACAGAGAAACACCACUUGGUGAUUCUUCAGGACUUUUGAUGCUCACCGAGCAAGGAGUUCUAGUCCUCCUUGUCAAUAGCUCAAACAAGAUUGUGUGGUCAUCGAAUUCAUCAAGAAUCGCCGGGAAUCCAGUAUCGCAACUCUUGGAUUCUGGAAAUCUUGUGGUGCAAGAUGGGAACGAAACUAACCCGGAUAACUUCUUGUGGCAGAGUUUUGAUUAUCCUUGUGACACAUACCUACCGGAAAUGAAGCUUGGUUGGGACUUGGUUACCGGUUUAGAGAGGUAUCUCUCGUCUUGGAAGAGCACAGAAGAUCCUGCUCCAGGAGAGUUUUCGGCACGAAUUGAUUAUCGUGGCUUACCACAACUUUUUGUUAUGAAAAGAGCUAAGAAAGUUGGUAGAGGAGGGUCAUGGAAUGGUCUUCAUUUAACAGGAUUUUCAUCUGGACAACCAAACCCAAUAUCUAGGAUUGAAUUUGUGUGGAACAAGGAUGAAGUCUACUGUCAGUUUAGGCUCCUAAACAGGUCGGUGUUCCAGAGAUUAGUAUUGAGCCCAUUAGGCGUUUCGCUGCUGUUCACAUGGGAGUAUCAAACACAUAGUUGGGAAUUUGCCUCUACACUCCAAGAAGAUCGGUGUGAAAGUUACGCCUUGUGUGGUGCAUAUACUAUUUGCAAAAUCAAUAACUCUCCCAUAUGUGUAUGCCUGAAGGGAUUUGUACCAAAAUCUCCACAAGAUUGGAAUUCGGGAAAUUGGUCUGAUGGGUGUGUUCGUAUGACUCCAUUGGCCUGCAGCCAUGGUGAUGGCUUCCUAACGUACAGUGGGGUUAAAUUGCCAGACACAUCUUCGUCUUGGUAUGAUAAAAGCAUGAGCCUCGAGCAAUGCAAGGGAUUAUGUCUGGGAAACUGCUCAUGUACGGCGUAUACAAAUCUAGAUGUCAGGGAGGGAGGAACUGGCUGCUUGCUUUGGUUUGAUAACGUCAUUGACAUAAGAGAAUUCACUCUCGGUCAGGAUCUCUAUACGGAUGGCAGCAUCAGAACUAGAUCAUGUUAAGAAAAAGAGCAAUUUCAACAAGAGACAGCUACUUGCAAUUCUCCUCAGCUCUGCAGUUUUUCUCAUGGGAAUGCUAAUAGUUGGAAUAAUAUUGUACAUCCGGAAGAAGAAACUCAAAAAUGAAGGACUCAGAACAAAGGAUUGCGGAGAAGAGUACCCUGGAGAAGACGGGGAAGACAUGGAGUUACCACUGUUUGACUUGACCACCAUAGCUAAAGCCACCAACGGCUUUUCAAACUGCAACAAGCUGGGAGAAGGUGGCUUUGGACCUGUGUACAAGGGUACACUGAUAGGAGGAAA